UACGAAGGGGGCUAGCGUUGCUCGGAAUCACUGGGCGUAAAGGGCGCGUAGGCGGCCAUUCAAGUCAGUGGUGAAAGCCUGUGGCUCAACCACAGAAUUGCCUUUGAUACUGUUUGGCUAGAGACCGGAAGAGGUAAGUGGAACUGCGAGUGUAGAGGUGAAAUUCGUAGAUAUUCGCAAGAACACCAGUGGCGAAGGCGGCUUACUGGUCCGGUUCUGACGCUGAGGCGCGAAAGCGUGGGGAGCAAACAGG
rnacentral:rRNA from 1 species